rnacentral:misc_RNA from 1 species
AUUUAGAGGAAGGAGAAGUCGUAACAAGGUUUCCGUAGGUGAACCUGCGGAAGGAUCAUUGUCGAUGCCUAAACAUCAAACGACCCGUGAACACGUUUACAACAAUCUUGUGCCAAGAGAGACGCAAGCUUCAUUGCCUGCCCCCUCUCUUGGUGCCUAAACAAAACCCCGGCGCAGGUCGCGCCAAGGAACUUAAACGAAUUCGCCUGCCCCCGCCCCGGUCUCCGUGUGUGGGGGUGGAGCAUUCUUGUCGUAUUAUUCACAACGACUCUCGGCAACGGAUAUCUCGGCUCUCGCAUCGAUGAAGAACGUAGCGAAAUGCGAUACUUGGUGUGAAUUGCAGGAUCCCGCGAACCACCGAGUCUUUGAACGCAAGUUGCGCCCGGAGCCUUCUGGCCGAGGGCACGUCUGCCUGGGCGUCACGCAUCGCUGACGCAACGCCCAAUUUGAGUCGUUCCGCUGGUUGGAGCACAUGUUGGCCUCCCGUGCGCACCGUCGUGCGGAUGGCUUAAAUUUGAGUCCUCGGCGCCUGUCGUCGUGACACUACGGUGGUUGAUCCAACCUCAGUACCAUGUCACCACCUCAGCCCGAGCAAGGACUUCUAUGCUGACCCUUUGAACGUCGUCCCUAAAGAUGACGCUUUCGACGCGACCCCAGGUCAGGCGGGACUACCCGCU